AGAAUGAGCGCUAAAACCACAUAUGUUAUUCCUUUCUUCACAAGCUUCUCAUUCAUUCAAGCGUUAUUUUUCCUCUCUCACUUCUAUCAAAUCGGGGUUUCCUUUUCUUCCCUCUUCAUCACCGUAAUAUCAUUAUCAUUGGAGUUUCUUUUCUUCCUCCUUCGUCAUCCUAUGUAAACCCUAACACACCAGUUCUUCAAGGAUUACUGAUUCAUUCUAAAGGAAUGGCGGAUCUUUCAAAUGCCGUUUUUCUAUGAGCAACAGAGUCCCAAUCAUGGUGAAUGCAAAGAUGCUAAAGAUAGCCUCAGUCAGGUUGGUGACCAAGACGAAAAGCUGGCAGAAGGUAUCAAGCUUUAGCUGGGGUGUUCGAGAGAUUUACCGAGAGACCAAUCAAAGCGGUGAUGUUGUUGAUAGUUCGGGUUCGGCUACGGAUGUGGCGUUUUCGAAUAGUACGGAAAGGGUGUUUGAAGUUGCGGUUGAGUAUUUAAGAACUAUGGGGUAUAAGUUUAUUGCUCCUGAACAUAUUGCUAUUGGUUUGUUGACUGUUGAUGAUGGUAGUGCUGGUCGUGUUCUUCAAAAGCGAGUUGAUCAUCUUUAGAUUAUAGAGAAUGAGAUGCAUCAGAGUUUUAUUUGAAAUAUUUGAUAAUAUAGUUCGAAUUCGGUUUUCGCAUGUUAGGAGCAAAUUUGAACGAGUUAGCUUAUGUUGCAGUGUCUUCGAUCGUGGGGUUCGGGUUUAGGUAUAUGCAUUUAGCAUCUCUGAUCAGGUGCUGGCGAAGAGAGUAACCAGGCACGUGAGCUUUCUUUCUAAGAGGAUUUGUAGCCUAGCGGUUCAAGAUGUGUAGUAAUAGUGUUUCUUUAAAGGACUGCUCUGACAGUUGUGGGAUUUAAAGUACGGGAAUGCUAUUACAUGGUUUGAAGUUCAAGAAGGCCAGUUCCAACACAUAGAUUUUCAUCCAACCACGCCCCAAAGGAGUGUUGUGGCGUUACUUACACUAAAAAGCGCAAGGCUGGUCAAGUUUAUGGAGUCUCUCUAACUGGUAAUUUAUUGAGUAAGUCCGGUGUUUUUGCAGAACAGAACAAGUAGUUAAAAAAAUAUAUUUGCCGAUUUAAGGAAUCUUGCAAAAUAUACCACUCAUGUUGCUGGUAUGACCCCCUCCCUAUUUGUCUCUUAUUGUUGGUAAUUGAUUUAUUUUGCAAGAUAAACAGCCAACAUAUUUCCAGUAUAAACAACCACCUUUUACGUAAGACACCAAUAUUAUUAGAAAAUCUCAUCUUAUUUCCUAUGUCAGCCAUUAUCACAUGUCCACCACAAAAAAAAAUAUGUUUAUUGAAAAAUCACCAAUUUUGUCUUCCUUUAACUAUUGUUAACUGAUAUGUCAAUAUAAUAGCUUCAUUACUUGAAAAUUAAUUUUUUUGGAACAAUAUGUUUUCACUAAUAGUCGGUUGUAUGUGUCGCUUUAUCAAGAGUAAAAACCAGAAAUGGAGUAAAAAAACUACUGAUAUUAGACAAGGAUGACAAACCGACAGAUGAAACAACAAAUGUCGCGCAUAAAGAAGUCUUUAAAAGUUGUGAUUUUUUUUUCAUUUAUUUCAUUUAUUAAGUGUAAAUUAUAUUUACGUUAGUAUCGAAACUAUUCUAAUUUGUUUCUUAAAAAGACAUUUUUGGGUUUACACAUAUGUAAGCAAAGUUUUAUAUGAACUAAUAUGAAUUUAAAUAAGAAUUUAGAUAUUGAAGUUUAUAUAAACUUGAUGUCAAUCAAAAGAUGAAAACCAUGACCUUUCGUUGAUCUAUUAAAGGUUCGCUGGUAUGUAACAGGUUUUUGGAGAGGGAAGUGAUCACUCUGUUCGGUUAUGGGUUUGUACCGGUUAGGGUCGUGUAUUGUCUGUUUGGGACCUGUUUCAACCCUUAGACGUGAAGCCUAAGUUUGGAAAGGCCGAAAAAAAGUGAUGACCUACAUGAGCUUCAAUACCAAUAGAUAUUAUAUAUUUGUGUUUAGCUACCCAUGAAACUCGCGGAAUCUUAGGCUAGUGUUCAUUAAACAAGUUAGAGAUAAUAAC